AUUGAACGCUGGCGGCAGGCUUAACACAUGCACGUCGAGCGAGCGGCGGACGGGUUUCUACUUUCUGGGACACUGCCUGAUGGAGGGGGAUAACUACUGGAAACGGUAGCUAAUACCGCAUCCCAUGAGGUGUGCCCAGAUGGGAUUAGCGAGUUGGUGGGGGAAUGGCUAACCUAGGCGACGAUCCCUAGCUGGUCUGAGAGGAUGACAAGCCACACUGGACCGGAGACAGGGGCCAGAGUCCGACGGCAGGCAGCAUUGGGGAAUAUUGCACAAAGGGCGCAGGGCUGAUGGAGCUAGGCCGGGUGUGGGGAGAAGGCCUGCGGGUUGUGAAUGACUUUGAGCGAGGAGGCGUGACUCGCAGAAGAAGUACCGGCUAAAUCCGUUCCAGCAGCCGCGGUAAUAC
rnacentral:rRNA from 1 species